AAGAGCCUACGUUGAGAAUCUUUGCAGCAAUAUUUUUAAUGGGAAUAAGGAACAAGAAGGACAGCGAGGGAUGUGAUCCAAGACAAAACUCAGAAGACGAAAAAAGAAAAAAAACCUCAGAAGACGAGCCUUUAGGACCACAAUUUUAGCUCAAGUGGAAGAAAAACUCUCUGGCAAGGAAUAAAAAUAAUAACAGGUUUCCAGCGUGGUGACAGGAAAAAGGCUACCGGCAAAAUCCGAUGAUGGACAUAAAGAAUAAAAAGAAGACAAAACAAGAUUCCAGUUUGAGAAAGAUGCGGAGAACAGACACAAAACCAGGAAGGAAAACAGGAGAUUGUUAAUGAUCACCAAGAUUCUUAAAAGAAGCAAGAGUUCUUACUAAUUCAUCUAGCUUCUAAUAAUAGACCUUGAGAGCUUGUUUGGAGAUUCUAACGAGGGAACCCAGCUCAUCCUAUGC